CUGAGGUUUUUUGGAAAAAAUAUUCAGCCCUCAAAGAGUUAAACUGAGCAGCUGAGUACAACUCCAAUAAUCAAAAAUGGCUGUACUGAACUUGUGAGGCCUGGCAUGCUCACACCCCUAACUUUGACCUCUCUGCUUAUCUGUGUCCCGAGUGACCUGUUGAAAGGAUGUGUUUCGUAGCUCAGUUUCUUACAAGUGAACAUCCUUUUAAUUCGUGAGUACUCCGUGGCACGUGACCCGGAAGCAGGCAGACCAGAAGGGACCAGUAGAGACUGCAAGACAUCCCUCCAGGGCCUCACAUCAUGUCAUCCAAAUUCCAAUAUUGAAUCAAACAGAUCAAGCCCGGCCUCUCCUGUAGUCUGCAGUCUUCCAGGAUCUGGCUACUCCGUGGCCUGAGAGUACGAAAUAAUGAGAACAAGCUGCUGCUGCCUGAGCCAUGAGUGGGGAAGGAACGUGGGGUCCAGGAUUAUCCCAUACAUCAGUCAGCUAAUCCCAGGAUCGUAGAUGCAAAUGCUUAACAGCUAAAGUAAAGUAAAGACUGUAAAUCACACCAGGGACCCCCUGCAUUACUCUAGUUUUUUGUUUUCUUCAACCCUGCCAGAAGGCUAAUCCCCAAAAGCCGGUGGUCUGUCUGGCCAGGGGCCGAGCUCCAUUGUGUUUUCCUUUUCAAAAAACCAGACAAAUUUUCCAUACCAAAAGAUUAAAAAAAGAAAAAAAAAAUAGACAGCGGAAAACUGGAUAACGUUUCUAUUUUUUGCAGCAGGUGUUUUGAAGCCCCGGACUGAUGUAACACCUGCAUGCCAGCCAGCGCGCUUAACCCUUAAUGAGCUCCUCCGACUGUUACUUGGUGUUCCAC